ensembl:lncRNA
GGGAAUUGUUUAAAAGGGAAGAGAGAUUGUUAGACCCGAUAACUAAAUUCACAUUGUGGACUUGGCACUUGGUAGUGAGAAAGUAUGGAAUAGAGAAUGAAAUAAGGCCUCUGAGGUGGAUAACCCAUGACAAAAGAUUCAAACCAGGAAAAAGUGAUUUGGGCUUUGAGAGAUGGGCAAAUAGGGGUAUUACAGCAAUAUGCACACUAUUAGAGAAGGGUAAAUUGCAGAGUUUUCAGGCUAUAAGGGAGAAAUUUGAUUUGGAAGCAAAUGACCUCUUUCGGUAUUUUCAGGUGAGGGAUUAUUAUUUAAAGGAAAUAAAGUUAAAAGAACCCAAAGAACAGAUCAUGAUUAUUACAAUAAUGAUAAAUGCAUAUGAAGGGAGAAAAUGUAGAGGGAUCUCAGCCCUAUACCAAGCUCUAGGGUCCAGUGGGGGAAAUUCAACUGUUUAUAUUGAAGAAAAAUGGGAAAAAUAAAUUGGAAUAGAAAUAACAGAAGAUGACUGGUAUACUGUGUACAAGGGCCAACACUUAGCCACCAGCUCUAGGAUAUGGCGAGAAUUUGGAUGGAAAAACAUUAUGAGGUAUUUCAUUCAUAGGCGUCGAUUACGCCGGGGACGCGUCCCCACCAGUUUUCGUAAAGACUAAUUUUGUCCCCACCAGAAAAAAAAAAAAAAAAAGUAUCUGGAUACGGCACACAGCCGUCAACAAUUUGCAACACUUGGAUAGUUCUAGAAUGGGGGAGGGGUGGGUGGUACGGUGGGCGGCUCCUUCUCUGUGUAAUCUGAACCUGACUGCUUGCCGCGCAGCGCGCACUUCCAUGGACAAUCUGCUGCGGUUGCAGCCUCAUGCAUUUGAGGAGAGGAGGUCCGGAGGAGACCAGACCUGCUGCAAGUGCCUUGCGUGGACUGAAAAAAGGUGGUUGCAUAUGCAAUACGUUGUGAAAAUACCGAAGUAAGAACUGUGACCAGAUAUGGAUCUUCUCCUUGUGGACAUGGCAGACAGACACACUGUUGAGUCGUGACUGCUCCAUCGUGGAGCGGAGCCAAUUCUUCAAACGACGCAGGGCACUGAAGCUCCGCUCCGCUUCGCAAGAAGAGACUGGGACCACAAGCAACAGCCUAACAAAAGCCUCCACCUGGGUGUUGCUCCAACGUGGCCAAACGGCCAAGGCCCUCUUGGUUGAACCUCUCAUCCAGCUGCGUGCUUGCUGUGUCGAUGGCAGAGAAAAUUUGCACCCUGAAAAAGUCCUCUGCCGAAGAGGGGGUGUGGCUUUUUGCAGGCCCACCAUAUCGGUUAGCUGGUUUCCGUACUUGUGGAAGAUUUAUUGGCUGAAGAUCAAGAGAUGUGCUUUUAUUGAGACCUUCAAGCUGCAGGAGAAUAUCCUGCCCAAGGAUAAGGCCAAGUACCGUGUUGCCUUUUUGGAGAUGGUCAAGAAGGCCACUUGCUCGAGGAGCUGUGACCCCAUUCGAGGAAGCCAACUCCUCUAAUGCAGCCAAGAUCACCUCGUAUUGGACUGGCCAAACAAACAUCCCAGGUCAUGGAUCCAUUGGAGGGCAUCUCGCACAACUGGUGUGGAUAAGCAGGCUUUUUGCGUGACCAGAUUCACACAGUUUGGCCACGAAGACCCGAGAGUGGAAGAUUGAGACGGAGCAGCACAUCAGAGGCAAUUUUCCAAAGAUGCUCGCCAGUUGUGGAAGAGGCCUCGUACAACCCUACAAACUCCUCCCUUGGUUCCAGAUCUUGGUCCACAUAGCGGAGGCAGAUGGAGAUCUGCUCUGUUCCACUGACGUCCUGUGUUCCGUCCAUUAUGAGGGAAUACUGCAGCAUUUUUGUGGAGUAGUCCAGUAGGAUUUAGGACUGCAUAUUUGGCAAACAGAAUGCAGAUUUCAAUGUUGACUUGUUUUAAGAUCAUUGUUGCUGCCUGUCUGUAUGUUUAUUUGAAUACGAUCAGGUCUUUCUCAAGACAUUUGAGGGCCUCACCUCGACAUGCUCAUCUGCCUGUUCCUGCAUUUCUUGGUUUAUCUCAGAUGGACCUAGGUCCUGUUCCUGACACAGACCAUGUAAAAAUUGAAUGUAACUUGUUUCAAUGUAUUGAAUCAUACUUUAAUUUCACAGGGUGAAAUAUUGUUGUUCAUGUAGUGUUCCCUGUUUAAAUGGAAAUCUGUCAAUUGACACACAGGUUUGUUUUUCUAGGUUGACUGAGUACUGUGAGCGGCCAAUAAUGGGAAAAUGUCCUUGUGACGAGUCCAUCCAGGAACUUGUUUCUGCCAACUCACCUCUUCAUUGCCAUCUACCAGUUCCUGCCUUUCAUUAAGCUCUGAUGCACUUGGUUCCUGUUCCUUAUAAAUAAAUAAAAAUGUGUUCACUCAAUUGAUUAUGCCCUCUAUUUUAUGUGAUUUAUGUGGUGUGCAAACAAAAGUC